UUUACUUUUUGUGCCCUGUCUCCUGCGGAGCCGCUAUUCCCCAUGGUCCUUUCAGGAACCCCAGCAUCCACUAGGACGAUAGAGAAAACCUGUAUUCCAGUUUUCACACCUGCAGCAACAUUAAAGGAGGAAACCGACACGAUAUGAUUCAGCUAGAAAUACAUUGGGGAUAAACCCCUGGUGUCCCCCAGCACACCGAGCUGUACCUGUACCAAGUAGUGCCAUUUGGAGAUCCCGGGGGUACUGUAUCUUCAGAUGGCCUUCACCUCAAUGCAAAGCAGACCAAAGUGUGACAUCCUAAUACGUUUCCAUGGAAACAAGUACAACAUCAGAUAGAUUUAAUACUGGGUCACCACGCUUCCUUCUGUAUUGGGGACACGAUCCCCCUCCCAUUGAUCCCCUCUGCAUUCCUUUCAGCCUUAACAAUUGAAGAACACACAUUACCUGAUCUUAACACACUGCCCUGUAACGACAACAAGGAUUUCAGAGAUCUAAUAGGCGUCCCGCGUACCUUUGGCAGGGCAAGCCCUGGAUUGUUCUGUGUUCCAGCAACACUAACCACUACCCCUGAUGAAGUCGACAAUGACGAAACGCAUGGAUAUUUGAAAUCUAGGUCCACAAUACUGUAAAGCCACAAUUGGUACAAGCUCACGUUCUGUCUAGGACUGUACAAGGAGUGGCAUUAUUCCAUAAUGGUUCCAGAUCUCCGGCUGUAUAUUGCAUAUAAACAGUGAUUGUGAUUUAUACUGUAAUAUGUUUUUA